GGUUAAUCGAUGCAACGCGAAGAACCUUACUGGCUUGACAUCCGAGAAUCCCUGGAAACAGGGGAGUGCCCUUCGGGGAAACUCGGAGACAGGUGCUGCAUGGCUGUCGUCAGCUCGUGUCGUGAGAUGUUGGGUUAAGUCCCGCAACGAGCGCAACCCUUGUCUUAAUUGCCAGCAUUCAGUUGGGCACUUUAAAGAGACUGCCGGUGUUAAGCCGGAGGAAGGUGGGAUGACGUCAAGUCCUCAUGGCCUUUAUGCCCAGGGCUACACACGUGCUACAAUGGGUGGUACAAAGAGAUGCCAACUCGCGAGAGCGCGCCAAUCUCAGAAAGCCAUCCUCAGUUCGGAUUGGAGUCUGCAACUCGACUCCAUGAAGUUGGAAUCGCUAGUAAUCGCGGAUCAGCACGCCGCGGUGAAUACGUUCCCGGGCCUU
rnacentral:rRNA from 1 species